rnacentral:rRNA from 1 species
UGGGGAAUUUUGGACAAUGGGCGAAAGCCUGAUCCAGCAAUGCCGCGUGUGUGAAGAAGGCCUUCGGGUUGUAAAGCACUUUUGUCCGGAAAGAAAUGGCUCUGGUUAAUACCUGGGGUCGAUGACGGUACCGGAAGAAUAAGGACCGGCUAACUACGUGCCAGCAGCCGCGGUAAUACGUAGGGUCCAAGCGUUAAUCGGAAUUACUGGGCGUAAAGCGUGCGCAGGCGGUUGUGCAAGACCGAUGUGAAAUCCCCGAGCUUAACUUGGGAAUUGCAUUGGUGACUGCACGGCUAGAGUGUGUCAGAGGGGGGUAGAAUUCCACGUGUAGCAGUGAAAUGCGUAGAGAUGUGGAGGAAUACCGAUGGCGAAGGCAGCCCCCUGGGAUAACACUGACGCUCAUGCACGAAAGCGUGGGGAACAAACAGG